rnacentral:rRNA from 2 species
GGUUUAUUGGAUCGUACCCGUUAAAUGGAUAACUGUAAUAACUCUAGAGCUAAUACAUGCCACGAUGCCCUGACUCCGCCUGCCAGCUUGGUAGGUUGGGGAAUGGGUGCACUUAUUAGAUCAGAAGCCAACCAGUGUAGCGUCACAGUCGCCUUGGUGGCUGUGGUGUGAGCUGUAGAACUUCUGGUGACUCUGGAUAAUUGUUACAGAUCGCAGUCGGCCAUGAGUCGGCGACGGGUCCUUCAAAUGUCUGCCCUAUCAACUUUCGAUGGUAGGUGACCUGCCUACCAUGGUGAUAACGGGUAACGGGGAAUCAGGGUUCGAUUCCGGAGAGGGAGCCUGAGAAACGGCUACCACUUCCAAGGGAGGCAGCAGGCGCGCAAAUUACCCACUCCCAGCACGGGGAGGUGGUGACGAAAAAUACCGAUGCGGGACUCCUUUAUGAGGCUCCGUAAUCGGAAUGAGUGGACUCUAAAUCCUUUCACGAGGAAUCAAUUGGAGGGCAAGUCUGGUGCCAGCAGCCGCGGUAACUCCAGCUCCAAUAGCGUAUAUUAAAGUUGCUGCAGUUAAAAAGCUCGUAGUUGGAUCUCGGUAGCAUUGUUGCCUGCGGAUAUUUGGACGUCGGUGUGUGGCUCUCCCCAGAUGCGUACACACUGGUAUUGGGUAGGGGUAUGAAAAUUAUUCUUGCUUGGUUUCUGGUGUGUGCGCCCUGGGGGGUUGUCAUCGAAGAGCACCGUCGUGCCAAGUCCGCAAGGCGACGGUGUCACCUUUAAGCCAUGUCUGUGGUCUUACGGCCGCAGGUGUAGGCGGGUGUCGGGCGGCGCCCUGCACUAGUGUGGGGCCUAGUCGGCUCGUCUGCAUGCCUUUGGAUGCCCUUUACCGGGUGUCUGUGGGCGGAUGGCACGUUUACUUUGAACAAAUUUGAGUGCUCAAAUCAGGCCGAUGUUGCCUGAAAAGUUUUGCAUGGAAUAAUGGAAUAGGACUUCGGUUCUAUUUCGUUGGUUUUCGGAUCCGAAGUAAUGAUCAAAAGAGACAGGCGGGGACGUUUGUAUGGCUGCGAUAGAGGUGAAAUUCUUUGACCGUAGCCAGACAAACUAAAGCGAAAGCAUUCGUCAAGCAUGUUUUCAUUGGCCAUGAGCGAAAGUCAGAGGCUCGAAGACGAUCAGAUACCGUCCUAGUUCUGACCAUAAACGAUGCCAACUGACGAUCCGUGGUGGUAGUUCUCUAACCUUCCCCACGGGCAGUCCCCGGGAAACCUUUAAGUCUAUGGGUUCCGGGGGAAGUAUGGUUGCAAAGCUGAAACUUAAAGGAAUUGACGGAAGGGCACCACCAGGAAUGGAGCCUGCGGCUUAAUUUGACUCAACACGGGAAAACUCACCCGGGCCGGACACUAUGAGGAUUGACAGAUUGAUAGCUCUUUCUUGAUUUGGUGGUUGGUGGUGCAUGGCCGUUCUUAGUUGGUGGAGCGAUUUGUCUGGUUAAUUCCGAUAACGAACGAGACUCCAGCCUGCUAAUUAGUGCAUUUGUCCACUGUACCUGUGUGGGCGGCAUUGGAUAUGAGUGCUGAUGGUAGUGUUUACGGGCCUGUGUGCACGCGCGCCUCGUGUGUCGCGUGGAGGGGUUUUGCGAAUGCGUAAAACCAUUCGGCGGUCAGUCUGGUGUUAGCCCCCGGGUGCGGCGCGAAUGCUUACUUCUUAGAGGGACAAAUGGGAGAAGCCAUACGAAAUAGAGCAAUAACAGGUCUGUGAUGCCCUUAGAUGUUCGGGGCCGCACGCGCGCUACAAUGGCGGUGUCAACGAGUCAGACCUUCUGGCCCGAAAGGGUUGGGUAAACUGGUCAAUCACCGUCAUGACAGGGAUCGGGGCUUGGAAUUAUUCCCCGUGAACGAGGAAUUCCUAGUAAGUGCAAGUCAUAAGCUUGCGCUGAUUACGUCCCUGCCCUUUGUACACACCGCCCGUCGCUACUACCGAUUGAAUGGUUUAGUAAGGUCCUUGGAUUGGCGCCAUUGUGGUGGUCACUGAAAGGUGUCCGUCCGACAGGCGCUGAGAAGACGACCAAACUUGAUCAUUUAGA